rnacentral:rRNA from 1 species
CCCGCUGAACUUAAGCAUAUCAAUAAGCGGAGGAAAAGAAACCAACAGGGAUUACCUCAGUAACGGCGAGUGAAGCGGUAACAGCUCAAAUUUGAAAUCUGGGUCUUUCAGGCGUCCGAGUUGUAAUUUGUAGAAGAUGCUUUGGGUGCGGCCCCGGUCUAAGUUCCUUGGAACAGGACGUCAUAGAGGGUGAGAAUCCCGUAUGUGAUCGGUGGCUUGCGCCCGUGUAAAGCUCUUUCGACGAGUCGGGUUGUUUGGGAAUGCAGCUCUAAAUGGGUGGUAAAUUUCAUCUAAAGCUAAAUAUGGUCCAGAGACCGAUAGCGCACAAGUAGAGUGAUCGAAAGAUGAAAAGCACUUUGGAAAGAGAGUUAAACAGUACGUGAAAUUGUUGAAAGGGAAGCGCUUGCUACCAGACUUGCGCGGGGUUGAUCAUCCGGGGUUCUCCCCGGUGCACUCGACCUCGCUCAGGCCAGCAUCGGUUUCGGUGGUUGGAUAAAGGCCUUGGGAAUGUGACUCCUUUCGGGGAGUGUUAUAACCCUCGAGUGCAAUGCAGCCUACCGGGCCCGAGGACCGCGCUUCGGCUAGGAUGCUGGCGUAAUGGUUGAUAAGCGACCCGUCGUGAAACACGG